rnacentral:rRNA from 1 species
GACGAACGCUGGCGGCGUGCUUAACACAUGCAAGUCGAACGGAAAGGCCCUGCUUUUGUGGGGUGCUCGAGUGGCGAACGGGUGAGUAACACGUGAGUAACCUGCCCUUGACUUUGGGAUAACUUCAGGAAACUGGGGCUAAUACCGGAUAGGAGCUCCUGCUGCAUGGUGGGGGUUGGAAAGUUUCGGCGGUUGGGGAUGGACUCGCGGCUUAUCGGCUUGUUGGUGGGGUAGUGGCUUACCAAGGCUGUGACGGGUAGCCGGCCUGAGAGGGUGACCGGGCACCAUGGGCCUACGAGAGGGAGCAGUGGGGAAUGGGGGGCAGUAGGGGGGAAUAUUGUACAACGGGAGGGAGUGUGUUGAGAAAACGCCGGGGUGGGGAAGACCGGUUUUGGGUUGAGAAACGCAUUCGGCUGAUACCAAGCGGGAGUGACGGUAAUGGGUGAAGAAGCACCGGCUAACUACGUG